UAUCUUUACUGAGAAGAUGGAAGAUUGCCUAAACAAGGCCUCCUCAGUAAUGGUGACAUUUUGCAAAUAUGAUAGCUGGUAAAUAUUA